rnacentral:lncRNA from 1 species
GUCACAUUGGAGCCAGUUUCCCUCUGGCUGGUCCUGGAAGAUGAAUGAAGCAGGAGCCAGCAGGCUGACGCCUCCGUAUUUACGGGUGUCAAUAAGGUCUGAUGGGCACAUAGCCUCGCCCCUUUAUCAGUCUGCUCCUUGGGCCUGCUCUUACACCACCCCCAUAGAGUUGAGUAAUUGUCACGGAGGUCAAAUGGCCUGAAAAGCUGAAAACAUUUACUCUCUGGCCCUUUAUAGAAAAAGUGGCCAGUCCCUGGGGUAAGGCUAGAAGUAAUCAGAUGCCGCAGUGGUUCAAGCCUGGGCAGAGGGGCCAGAGGUGGAAGAGAGACAUGGCAGAACAUGGCACGCCGUCAAGACCUGUCUUCCAAUCUUGCAUCCUAUGCUUCCUGUCCGUAAGGAACUUUCUCUGCCAGUUCCCAAAUUCUCUUUGAACCUCAGUUGAUCUGUCUGUAAAAUAGGCUUAAUGAUGGAACCUUGCUCAUAGGAGUCAUUGAGGAUGACGGGAGAUUUUUGCAGCCACAUCCAUAGACACCUAGUUCGACUCAAUAUAGAAGUAGUUACUUGGGGCUGGGAGUGGAGCUGUAGCCGUGGAGGGCUUGUCUGGCGUGCGUGAGGCCCUGGGUUCCAUCUCCAGCUCUGCAAGGGCUUUCCUCCGUGUUUACAGGAAUCAUCUAAUUCUCCCUCUACCCAAGUGACUCUGCAAUCUCUCCCAUCAGGAUUUCUCCUCCCCUUGGAAACCGGAAUGGCACUGUGACCUUCCUUUAGUUGGUACGAUGUGGCUGAAGGGACCUGAGGACUGACCAAUGGAAAUACUUGAGCAAGCCCAGCCAAGAUUAGCCAAGCCUGACCCAGACCAGCAGAACCACCCAUCUGCCCACAGAUGGAGCAAUCCUGGAUAUUUUCUGUUUUAAGCCAUGGAAUUAGGGGACGUUUGUUGCUUGACAAAAACUGGCUUGAAUGUGCUAUGGUCUGAGUGUGUCCUCCAAGUUCAUCCCAAGGCAACAGUGUUGUGUGACGGUACCUUUAAGAUGUGGGCAGGUCAGGAGCUCUCUGCCUUCAUGGACGGGUUAGUGAUGCUGGGUGGAGGCAGGAGCUAGUUAUCACAGAAGUGGGGUUCUGAUGAAAGGAUGGGUUCAGCCCCCUCGCCGCUCUCUCUCUUGCCUGUUCUUUAGCCCUUCUGCCUUUGACCUUGGGGCAAUGCAGCAAGAAGGCCCUUGGCAGAUGUGGAUCCCUUAACCUUGAACUUUCCAGCCUCCAGAACAGUAAGAAGUAAAUCUCCAGUUUCUCAAAUAAAUUCCUCUGCUAACGGUGUGCUCAGCUGCAAAAGGAAAACAAAAAAAAACUAUGAG